rnacentral:rRNA from 1 species
UAAGGAAUAUUGCGCGAAUGGGCGAAAGCCUGACGCAGCAACGCCGCGUGCGGGAAGAAGGCCUUCGGGUUGUAAACCGCUUUGAGAGGGGAAGAGGCAGGACGGUACCCUCGGAACAAGUCUCGGCUAACUACGUGCCAGCAGCCGCGGUAAAACGUAGGAGGCGAGCGUUAUCCGGAGUUACUGGGUGUAAAGGGCGUGCAGGCGGCUGAGCAAGUCGUAUGUGAAAGCGCUCCGGCUCAACCGGGC